rnacentral:rRNA from 1 species
AGAGUUUGAUCCUGGCUCAGGAUGAACGCUAAGGCUUAACACAUGCAAGUCGACGGCAGCACGAGAGCUUGCUCUUGGUGGCGAGUGGCGAACGGGUGAGUAAUAUAUCGGAACGUAUCCAAUAAUGGGGGAUAACUAAUCGAAAGGUUAGCUAAUACCGCAUACGCCCUACGGGGGAAAGCAGGGGAUCUUCGGACCUUGCGUUAAUGGAGCGGCUGAUAUCUGAUUAGCUAGUAGGUGAGGUAAAGGCUCACCUAGGCUUCGAUCAGUAGCUGGUCUGAGAGGACGACCAGCCACACUGGAACUGAGACACGGUCCAGACUCCUACGGGAGGCAGCAGUGGGGAAUUUUGGACAAUGGGCGCAAGCCUGAUCCAGCCAUUCCGCGUGAGUGAAGAAGGCCUUCGGGUUGUAAAGCUCUUUCGCAAGGGAAGAAACGAUACCGACGAAUAAUCGGUGUUAAUGACGGUACCUUGAUAAGAAGCACCGGCUAACUACGUGCCAGCAGCCGCGGUAAUACGUAGGGUGCGAGCGUUAAUCGGAAUUACUGGGCGUAAAGCGUGCGCAGGCGGUUUUGUAAGUCAGAUGUGAAAUCCCCGGGCUCAACCUGGGAACUGCGUUUGAAACUACAAGGCUAGAGUAUGGUAGAGGGGGGUAGAAUUCCACGUGUAGCAGUGAAAUGCGUAGAGAUGUGGAGGAAUACCAAUGGCGAAGGCAGCCCCCUGGACUAAUACUGACGCUCAUGCACGAAAGCGUGGGGAGCAAACAGGAUUAGAUACCCUGGUAGUCCACGCCCUAAACGAUGUCUACUAGUUGUUGGGAGAGUAAAAUCUCUUAGUAACGCAGCUAACGCGUGAAGUAGACCGCCUGGGGAGUACGGUCGCAAGAUUAAAACUCAAAGGAAUUGACGGGGGCCCGCACAAGCGGUGGAUUAUGUGGAUUAAUUCGAUGCAACGCGAAAA